rnacentral:tRNA from 1 species
GUUCAUGUAGCUUAAUGACAAAGCAAAGCACUGAAAAUGCUUAGAUGGAUUACCCCUGAUCCCAUAAACA